rnacentral:tRNA from 1 species
UCCCUGCUGGCUCAGAGGUUAAAGCAUCUGCCUGCAAUGCGGGAGACCUGGGUUCAAUCCCUGUGUUGGGAA